rnacentral:piRNA from 1 species
UGCAAGAAUGAAUGAGUUAUCAGGUAAUUG